rnacentral:rRNA from 1 species
UACAGAGGGGGCAAGCGUUGUUCGGAAUUACUGGGCGUAAAGGGCGCGUAGGCGGCCUGUUAAGUCGAACGUGAAAUCCCCGGGCUCAACCCGGGAACUGCGUCCGAUACUGGCAGGCUUGAAUUCGGGAGGGGGAUGCGGAAUUCCAGGUGUAGCGGUGAAAUGCGUAGAUAUGGGGUGGAACACCGGUGGCGAAGGCGGCCAUCUGGACGACAACUGACGCUGAGACGCGAAAGCGUGGGGAGCAAACAGG